rnacentral:lncRNA from 1 species
AUGUAUUUCUUAACAAAAAUAUUAAAAAUAUCUCACCCCUUUCCUCUAAUUUUCAGUAUAUGGGCAAAUGCACAUUGGAACCUCCACAGUCUAGUAUGGAAUGCACCAAGAAAUACACUGAGGACAACGGAAGCUUUCUGCCACCCUAAUUGCUAUGCCAAAGCUGGAGAUAUGAGAUUUGAAAGACCAGCUAUAACAAAAAUUGGGGAGUGUGCCUAUGCAUAUUAAUGAGCAGGCAGAACUCUGCAUGUGCUGAGAGAUCUUUAUGAGAUUUGUCAAGUCAUCAUGAAUUACAUCUUGGAAUAUAAUUAAAAUAUAAAAUAGCCCCUGCUCGUUGCUGACCUGGCAACCCGAAAGAUAGUUGCAUCUAUCAAGUAGAAAAUAAGGUACCACUUAUAAAAAAAAAAAGUGGGGAGGCAAGUUUAACUAAUUUAUGACCUGGAAUGAGGAAGUGCCGUCAGAGUGGAUGAUGAAGCAGCUGCUCCCCCCUGUGGCCAGAAUCGAACAUCCCCUCAGGAGAAGAUUAAAUUGCCUCUGCAUCUGUCUGUCUCGGUCUCUGUUUGAUGUGUUUAUGGGCACUGAAUGUUUGCCCUAUGUGUGUAUAAUGUGAUCCGCCCUGAGUCUCUUUUGGGGUGAGAAGGGCGGAAUAUAAAUACUGUAAAUAAAUAAAUAAAUAAAUAAAUAAUGUCACAGAGUAGAUUGUUUCCAUGGUUUAGAAAAAUAAUAAAAGCCAUUAGCAAAACCUGGAGAAGUUUCCCCCCCUAGAAUAUUUUUUUUGAUUGGUUGUGGAAGUCUUGGAAUUGCUGUUCAAGAAAGUAACUUUUUCAAAGAAUGGAAACAACUCUGGAAGAAACUAUUACAAUUUACAAGAUGUUAUACUGUAAAAGACAAACCAACUUUAGCCCUACAGCAAACUACAAGAAUCUCUAGAAUCUACAAGAAUAGAAACCUUUUAUAGACUUCAUGAAAAACCAAAAGAAGAUGAUCACAGCAGGACUAAAAAUAAGAUAAAUAAUAUAUGUUUAUCUUCUGUAUUUGGUAUGUUAAAACUUAAGGGAUGGAUGCUAUCUGAUGGGUCAACUGUUGAGAAAUUAUAAUAGAAAAAUGCAUAAUAUGAAUGAUAUAGAAAAUAUAGAAGCAUAUACACACACACAUAUAUAUAUAUAGGUAUAUAUAUGAAUGUGUUUAUGAAUGUACUUACAGUCAUACACUGCGAGCAAAAUUGAUGUAAAAGAAGACUAGAUGGGUUAGUGUGAACAAAAGCUUGAGAAACAGAAGUUUGAGAGAUCUGGCCUUCAGGAGCUAUCACAUAAAUUCUUAAAAAUAGACUAUAAGAAUAUUAUCAUACUGAGAGAUUAUGGUUAAGUCAGAUGAGCUUUCGACCCCCAGCAGUUAUAAAUGGAAAAUAUAUCUGAUGUAAAUACAUAAAAUGAUAAAAACAUUAACCUACUUACAAUAUACAUGAAAAUUGUAGAACUUUCUUUAUAAAUAUUUAAAAAUGUUAAUGUGAAAUCAUCUGCUAUCAAAAGUUCAGUUUAAUUUCCAUUGAAUCAGAACUGGAAAAGAAUAUAUGAAGACCAAGAAACAAUGUGAGAAGACAGAAGAAGAUACAACCAAUGGACUUAAAAUUAAAAUUGUUAGAAUACUCAAUAUACAGUAUUAUGUAAUAUGUGUUAAAGAAAUAGAGAUGAAGACUUGUUGUAAUACAAUGAUAACUUUGUAAAAGAACUCCCCAUACCCCAGUAACCCCACCCUCUUGGUUUUCUCCUCGCAACAUACCAGACAUUUGUAAAGAUACAACUAACCAAUAAUUAAUCUAUUAUCCCUAAAUAAUAUAUUUUUCUUCCUUUGUCUCCCCAUCCCCUACUUUCUGAGUAAAUGCUUAAUAAAAUUAUUUGGGAAAAAGUAACUUUUCUAAGCUCUGGCAGCUAAGAGAGCAGAUACCCCAUCCAUCAUUGGAAUUUCAAGUUGGGCCGUGGCGCAACUGGUUAGUAGCCAGCAGCAAUAAAUCACUACUGACCGAGAGAUCAUUGGUUCAAAGCUCAGGUCAGAAUUAAGCUCCCGGCCUUUAAUAGCCUAGCUUGCUGCCCACCUAAGCAGCUCAAAAACAGUUGUGGUUGUGGGUAGAGAAAUCUAGGUGCCUCUUAAUAUGGGGAGGCUAAUUUAACUUAAUUUACGACACCAUAAAAACUGCCAGCAGCAUGCAAAGAGCAAUGAGGAAGUACUACCAUCAAAAAAAGGAUUCGGUAUCACAGUGGAUGAUGAAGUGGCUGGAAUCAGGCAUACCCAUAUGAGGCCAGAAGUUGGAAAAUGUUAAAUUGCCUCUAUUGUCUGUCUGUAUGUUAUAUGUGUAAUAAUGGCAUUGAAUGUUUACCAUGUAUAUGUACAUUAUAAUCCACCGUGAGUCCCCUUCAGGGUGAGAAGGGCAGAAUAUAAAUACGGUAAAUAAGUAAUAAUAGAUAGGGACCCAAGGAAACUUCCAUAACAAUAAAAAUAUUAACAAUGAAAAAUUUAAAACAAUUAAAAGCACAUAAAAAUGGUAACAUCAUAGAUUUCAACAUGAUAAUAGGAUCUCUUCCUAUAAAUACAGUACUAAAAAUAGAAAUACUGUAGCAGAUGUUACACUGCACUACUUUUUGUUGACAGGAAACUGUUUGGCAACUCUUUUGACAUAACAUAUGAGGAAACAGUUCCUGGAUUCCUAUUUAUUUAUUUAUUUAUUUUUUAUUUAAUUUAUAUACCGCUCUUCUCCCCCAGGGGGACCCAGAGCGGUCUUACAUAAUGGCAAGAUUUAUGCCACAUAUAAUACAAAAUAUAGUAAAACAAACGAUCGUAAAAACACACUUAAAAACCAAUAUCAUACCCCAUUUAUAACAGUAAAGCACUGUGUGGCCAUUACAACAGGGCCAGUAGCAUUGGGCCAAAAGUCAGAGCCAGUCUGUAUUCAAUAACACAUUAAU